rnacentral:lncRNA from 1 species
CAGCCCUUCCUGCUCCGGCCUGCAGGGUGGGGACUAUGGGCCCGGCUGCAGCCCUCCCCCGACCCCCACCUCCACUCUGCCCCUGGCUCCACAGCCCCUGGGGUCCUGGCUGCCCUGGGGGAGUUUGAGGCCCCCAGUAGCAGCUACGGCUGGGGCCCCGGACAAACUGGGGGUGUAGGAGCUCUAGGAAAUCAACCCCAGGGAGGCUGCUACGGCUAAACAGAAGCAUCAGCCCCAACCCAGCAGGGCCAGAUGUUCUGCUCUCCCUCCCCCAGUUUCGGCUGCCGGGAGGGUCCCCACCGAGAGUCCCCCCCGACUCCUGCACAGGCCUAGCCACAGGCUCCCUCCCGGGCUGGACCGACCACUCUCCUGCUUGAGGUCCCAGAGAGGCGCUGGCCUGGCCCGGCCCAUGUGCCCCACAAACACCCCUGGCUGCUCCUCCGGCAUCUGUCUUAAAGUGCCAGCCCAGCGUGAGCCCCGCAUCAGCUACCGAGAGACAGAAGUAACUUCUAAAACAUUGCUAGGGAAACGCUCUGACAUCUUCCGUAGAGGUGAAAAAGCACAGGUCUGACUCAGGUAGCUGCGAGUUCAAGUUCAGCCGCAGGCUCUUCCCCAAGGUGCUGGUCUUCGCAGGAACCCCUUGCAGGCAGCUGCAAAGAGCAGCACGGCGCGCACACACAGGGUCCGGCUGGCGUCUGGCCAGAGCAAGGGAACAGUAAGUGUGUCCUGGAGGCGCUCGCCAUGCACUCACACGCCAUCUGUGGAUUCGGAAGUGACCUCCCCCUCGGUUGAUGAGGGUUCUCUGCGUCUGGAGAACACAGGACGUCCACAGGAAAGUUCUCCCUCCUGCACUCCCGGCUGGCUCUGAAAAUUAUGAACUCUCUUUUCCUUAAAAUAAAGGCUCUAAAAUUGUGUGAUUCCACCUCCCUGAGGCUAAGCGAAAGAGCCGCGUCUGCCCCUGUCCUUCCCGGGGGCUGGCAGGGAGUGGGUGCCCGGCGGUGACUCAGCCCUGCAGCCUCCCAGCCCUUCCCCGUAUGCGGGCAGGUGAUGCGGACGCCUCCGACCCUCGUGGGGUUUGUGGAGAGCGUUGAUCAGCGCUGCCGUCAGAACAGGACCUGUGCGAGGCCUCGCAGAUGCCGGGAGCCGGGCGGUGCUCUCGGUGCUUCUCAUCAAAUCCACUGGCUCUUCGAGAGGAAGCACAUGUCACAGCCCAGCUCAAACAAGAAGCAAGAAAAUCACUCUUCAUUUUGGAAUUGUAAAAUAAAGUAGAAAUUAUCCUCAGGCUAGAGUGACCUUCCCGUCCUGCCCCAGCC